rnacentral:misc_RNA from 1 species
CCGAGUUUACAGCUCCCAAACCCCAUGUGAACCGUACCCAUAGCUGUUGCCUCGGCGGGUCACGCCCCGGGUGCGUAAAGCCCGGAACAGGCGCCAGCCGGAGGACCAACCAAACUCUUUCUGUAGUCCCUCGCGGACGUAUUUCUUACAGCUCUGAGCAAAAUUCAAAAUGAAUCA